GGGGAGGGAGUUUGAAUAAACAUCUUAUUUACAUUA
rnacentral:tRNA from 1 species